GAUGAACGCUAGCGGCAGGCCUAACACAUGCAAGUCGAAAAGGGGUAGAAGGAGCUUGCUCCUUUGAGACCGGCGCACGGGUGCGUAACGCGUAUGCAAUCUACCUUGUACAGGGAAUAGCCCAGAGAAAUUUGGAUUAAUGCCCCAUAGUAUAUAACCCUUCGCAUGUUGGUUAUAUUAAAGUUCCAACGGUACAAGAUGAGCAUGCGUCCCAUUAGUUAGUUGGUAAGGUAACGGCUUACCAAGACGAUGAUGGGUAGGGGUCCUGAGAGGGAGAUCCCCCACACUGGUACUGAGACACGGACCAGACUCCUACGGGAGGCAGCAGUGAGGAAUAUUGGUCAAUGGUCGCAAGACUGAACCAGCCAUGCCGCGUGCAGGAAGACGGUCCUAUGGAUUGUAAACUGACUUUUUAUACUAGGAAGAAAACCCCUUCCCACCGUAGUGGGAGCUUGACGGUUACUGUAGGAAUAAGGAUCGGACUAACUCCGUGCCAGCAGCCGCGGUAAU
rnacentral:rRNA from 1 species